UUCGUAGAUAUCAGGAGGAACACCGAUGCGAGCAGCUUUCUGGACAGAUACUGACGUUGAGGCGCGAAGGCGUGGUAGCGAACGGAUUAGAUACCCGUAGUCCACGCAGUAACGUUGUACACUCGGUGUGCCGGAUAUUAAAUCUGUGUGCCCAAGUUAACACAUUAAGUGUACCGCUGGGAGUACGUCGCAGACUAAAACUCAAAGGAAUUGACGGGGCCCGCACAAGCGGUGGAGCAUGUGGUUUAAUUCGACGCAACGCGAAGAACCUUACCUGGUUUGACAUCCUGUGAAUAUUCCGUAAUUGGAAUAGUGCCUUCGAGAGCACAGUGACAGGUGCUGCAUGGCUGUCGUCAGCUUCGUGUCGUGAGAUGUUUGGUUAAGUCCAGCAACGAGCGCAACCCUUAUCUUUAGUUGCCAGCGCGUAAUGGCGGGAGCUCUAGAGAGACUGCCCGGGUUAACCGCGAGGAAGGCGGGGAUGACGUCAAGUCCUCAUGGCCCUUAUAUCCCAGGGCUACACACGUGCUACAAUGGUAAAUACAGAGGGCAGCGAGCCGGUGACGGUGAGCGAAUCCCUAAAGUUUAUCUCAGUCCGGAUUGGAGUCUGCAACUCGACUCCAUGAAGUUGGAAUCGCUAGUAAUCGCGGAUCAGCAUGCCGCGGUGAAUAUGUUCCCGGCCUUGUACACACCGCCCGUCACACCAUGGAGUUGAUUAUACCCGACUCGCUGGCUACC
rnacentral:rRNA from 1 species